rnacentral:rRNA from 1 species
UGGGGAAUAUUGGACAAUGGGCGAAAGCCUGAUCCAGCCAUGCCGCGUGUGUGAAGAAGGUCUUCGGAUUGUAAAGCACUUUAAGUUGGGAGGAAGGGCAGUAAAUUAAUACUUUGCUGUUUUGACGUUACCGACAGAAUAAGCACCGGCUAACUCUGUGCCAGCAGCCGCGGUAAUACAGAGGGUGCAAGCGUUAAUCGGAAUUACUGGGCGUAAAGCGCGCGUAGGUGGUUCGUUAAGUUGGAUGUGAAAUCCCCGGGCUCAACCUGGGAACUGCAUUCAAAACUGACGAGCUAGAGUAUGGUAGAGGGUGGUGGAAUUUCCUGUGUAGCGGUGAAAUGCGUAGAUAUAGGAAGGAACACCAGUGGCGAAGGCGACCACCUGGACUGAUACUGACACUGAGGUGCGAAAGCGUGGGGAGCAAAAGCAGGAU